UAGCACUCGCGAGGUGGGGUAACCACCCUCAGGAGGACGGAAGGACACAUUGUGCAGACGCCACACUUCCGCCCCUUGGGUCUCCCUUUGCAGGACAGAGCACUUGGGGCUUGUAGCCAUUGCAAUACCUGCAGUAUUCCUGAUUUUAGUCUGUUUACAAUAUUACAAUCUGCUUAUUGUAACGAUUGCCCUUUAUUGAAAGAUUUUUUUUUUUUAAAUGUAGAUGUUCAAGGUGAAGUUUGUCCAAAGAGCACCAGGCAGAUGAGGACAAGAAGGUUCUGACCGUAACUGGCCAGUGGGACAGAGAAACGGGACUAGAUGGAAGAAGAAAAAAUGAAUCCAUGUUGAGAAGAAAGCUUAAUUUUCAAGAUGGUGGCUUGGGCAUGUGGGUGUCUCCUGCUCCCUCCCAAGGACUCAGUAACAUGACAAUAAAGGAUCUUUGAAAGGUGUAACCCCACAGCAUGAAGAUAACUGAGGAAUACAAAUUCGUGGACUACAGGAAAAGGAAGACAAACCUCCCAAUAUUUAUGGACUUGUUUUGGGUAUGUAAAGGCGAAAAAGAAAAGAUACUGCACAUGGGUUUCCUUCCAUCUGUCGAGCUGAGGCCCAC